rnacentral:rRNA from 1 species
CCAAUGCCCUCCGGGGCUCACUGGUGAUUCAUGAUAACUCCUCGAAUCGCAUGGCCUUGUGCCGGCGAUGGUUCAUUCAAAUUUCUUCCCUAUCAACUUUCGAUGUUUGGGUAUUGGCCAAACAUGGUUGCAACGGGUAACGGAGGGAUAGGGCUCGACCCCGGAGAAGGAGCCUGAGAAACGGCUACUACAUCCAAGGAAGGCAGCAGGCGCGCAAAUUACCCAAUCCCGACACGCGGAGGUAGUGACAAUAAAUACUGAUACAGGGCUCUUUUGGGUCUUGUAAUUGGAAUGAGUACAAUUUAAAUCCCUUAACGAGGAACAAUUGGAGGGCAAGUCUGGUGCCAGCAGCCGCGGUAAUUCCAGCUCCAAUAGCGUAUAUUAAAGUUGUUGUGGUUAAAAAGCUCGUAGUUGAACCUUGGGCCUGGCUGGCCGGUCCGCCUCACCGCGUGUACUGGUCCGGCCGGGCCUUUCCCUCUGUGGAACCCCAUGCCCUUCACUGGGCGUGGCGGGGAAACAGGACUUUUAC